rnacentral:rRNA from 1 species
ACGGGAGGCAGCAGUGGGGAAUAUUGGGCAAUGGGCGAAAGCCUGACCCAGCAACGCCGCGUGAGUGAAGAAGGCCCUCGGGUUGUAAAACUCUUUUACCAGGGACGAAACAAAUGACGGUACCUGGAGAAAAAGCAACGGCUAACUACGUGCCAGCAGCCGCGGUAAUACGCAGGUUGCAAGCGUUGUCCGGAUUUACUGGGUGUAAAGGGCGUGUAGGCGGAGAUGCAAGUCAGAUGUGAAAUCCCGGGGCUCAACCCCGGAACUGCAUUUGAAACUGUAUCCCUUGAGUAUCGGAGAGGCUAGCGGAAUUCCUAGUGUAGCGGUGAAAUGCGUAGAUAUUAGGAGGAACACCAGUGGCGAAGGCGGCUUGCUGGACGACAACUGACGCUGAGGCGCGAAAGCGUGGGGAGCAAACAGGAUUCGAUACCCUGGUA